ensembl:misc_RNA Metazoa_SRP Metazoan signal recognition particle RNA
GCCAGGCACGAUGGUGUGUGCCUGUAGUCCCAGCUACUCAGGAGGCUAAGCGGGGAGGAUAGCUUGAGCCGAGGAAUUCUAGAUGAUAGUGUGCUAUGCUGACUGGAAUUCUACACUAAAUUCUGCAUCAAUAUGAUAACCUCCUGGGAGCCAGGGACCACUAGAUUGCCUAAGGGGGUGUGAACUCACCCUGAGUGGAAAUGGAGCAGGUCAAAACUCGCAGGUGGAUCAAAAUAAUAAUUAUGCACAUAUAUUAUUAUCCCCUAGAGUGUGGGGAGGAAAUGUUGAAAAGUUCAUCUUA